UUAUGAUUAUUUUCAACAGAAUAUCUUUGGAACGUUGCUAUUGUUAUUAUCUAACGUAUACAGUUUUAUGAAGCAACGGUAAUAUCAUUUGGGGCUAUAAAAGAAAUCUGAUAUCAGUGAAAUAGAUACAACACUUGAAUUAAUUAUUGCACUUACAUACUGAAAAAGUUAUUUGAUAUUUUGGUGCAAUUGAAAUUUGCUGCUGUGCUACUAUAACUCUACUUAUAUUCAGCGUAAUUUCGUGGGCUAUAAAUCG
rnacentral:lncRNA from 1 species